rnacentral:lncRNA from 1 species
UUGUCUGUGCGAACCAGCGAACCAGAAACGGGAGAAGCCGAGACAGCAGCCAGCCGCUGCCGUCACCGCCCGUGCACUGCCUCGCUCGUCGCCAGGUCGUCGUCCUGCCGCCCGCGCUCCGCCAACCCUCGUUUCCUCGCGCUCAGGCCUCCCCCGUGCGUCUCUCGCCCCUGUUCCGUCUCGUCCAGCCACCGUGAGUGGCCGAGCAAGCCGCCGGAGCCGCCGUGUGGCCUCACCGGACCGCCUCUUGCUUUCCCGACCCCUCUCCGCCUCUAACCAUCUCUGUUUUCCCCUGUUUCGCAGCUAAUCCAGCAACCCACGAAGUGGGUUUUCAGCCGGCUCUUGGGCCGUUUUGGGCCGUUUCCGGGCCCCGAACCCGAGCCGUGCUUUGGGGUUUAUUGUUCCUCGCGUCGCCCUCGUCGGAUUGAUCCGAUUUGCGGGUGAUUUGGUGAGUAAUCUCACUAAUCCAGGAUUAGUUGGCUAUUUAUGCUUAAGGUUGGUUUAGAUUUAAUUAAUUAUGUUUAGGUUGUUAGAUUAGAAUAAAUUAACAAUUAUUAGUCAAUUGUGAUGCGAUUUAGAUAAAUUGAUUGCGCAAUUAACAAGUAGACGUGGUCUACUAUUUAUUGGAAGUAUCUCGGAAAUUUUCCGACCCCUAAUUGGGCUUCAAUUUGGCGAUUCGGGCCUAAGUGUGAUUUUUGGCAUUUAAAUAUCAUUUUUCGGAAUUAAAUUAAUUAUUUAUUUAUUUUCCGAAAAUUCAACUGAGAUUGUCCGGAAUCGGAAUUUUAUGCUGAUGACUGUGGUGAAGUCCGUUUAUUUAAUUGGGCUUUAUUUUGUGCUAAAUUGAAUUUUUAAUAUUAAUUAUUUAAUUUUCGAAAUUAAUUAAUUAUUUAUUUAUUUUUCGGAAAUUAAGAUUUUGAUGGCCGACGACCGAAAUCUUGUGCUGAUCGUCGUGGCGCAGUUCGUUUAUUUAUUUGAGCUCUACGUUGCAUGGAAUUAAAUAAAUUGUGAUGUUUUAGGGAUUUACCCUAAAUUGAUUUGGAAUUGAUUGAGAUUGAAUGAUUGAUUGGUAAAUGGCUGAGUAUGUUUGUUUAGCAUUUAUAACGCUUUGAUUGAGUUGUAAAGUGGAUGGAGUUAUGAGAGAAUUGGAAAUACUCAGGGAUUGAACCAAUCAGACACAGUGUAUGGACCUACGUGGUUCGGUGAUUGGGACAUCACUGGCGAAAACGGCGC